GACGAACGCUGGCGGCGUGCCUAAUACAUGCAAGUCGAACGAACUCUGGUAUUGAUUGGUGCUUGCAUCAUGAUUUACAUUUGAGUGAGUGGCGAACUGGUGAGUAACACGUGGGAAACCUGCCCAGAAGCGGGGGAUAACACCUGGAAACAGAUGCUAAUACCGCAUAACAACUUGGACCGCAUGGUCCGAGUUUGAAAGAUGGCUUCGGCUAUCACUUUUGGAUGGUCCCGCGGCGUAUUAGCUAGAUGGUGGGGUAACGGCUCACCAUGGCAAUGAUACGUAGCCGACCUGAGAGGGUAAUCGGCCACAUUGGGACUGAGACACGGCCCAAACUCCUACGGGAGGCAGCAGUAGGGAAUCUUCCACAAUGGACGAAAGUCUGAUGGAGCAACGCCGCGUGAGUGAAGAAGGGUUUCGGCUCGUAAAACUCUGUUGUUAAAGAAGAACAUAUCUGAGAGUAACUGUUCAGGUAUUGACGGUAUUUAACCAGAAAGCCACGGCUAACUACGUGCCAGCAGCCGCGGUAAUACGUAGGUGGCAAGCGUUGUCCGGAUUUAUUGGGCGUAAAGCGAGCGCAGGCGGUUUUUUAAGUCUGAUGUGAAAGCCUUCGGCUCAACCGAAGAAGUGCAUCGGAAACUUGGAAACUUGAGUGCAGAAGAGGACAGUGGAACUCCAUGUGUAGCGGUGAAAUGCGUAGAAAUAUGGAAGAACACCAGUGGCGAAGGCGGCUGUCUGGUCUGUAACUGACGCUGAGGCUCGAAAGUAUGGGUAGCAAACAGGAUUAGAUACCCUGGUAGUCCAUACCGUAAACGAUGAAUGCUAAGUGUUGGAGGGUUUCCGCCCUUCAGUGCUGCAGCUAACGCAUUAAGCAUUCCGCCUGGGGAGUACGGCCGCAAGGCUGAAACUCAAAGGAAUUGACGGGGGCCCGCACAAGCGGUGGAGCAUGUGGUUUAAUUCGAAGCUACGCGAAGAACCUUACCAGGUCUUGACAUACUAUGCAAAUCUAAGAGAUUAGACGUUCCCUUCGGGGACAUGGAUACAGGUGGUGCAUGGUUGUCGUCAGCUCGUGUCGUGAGAUGUUGGGUUAAGUCCCGCAACGAGCGCAACCCUUAUUAUCAGUUGCCAGCAUUAAGUUGGGCACUCUGGUGAGACUGCCGGUGACAAACCGGAGGAAGGUGGGGAUGACGUCAAAUCAUCAUGCCCCUUAUGACCUGGGCUACACACGUGCUACAAUGGAUGGUACAACGAGUUGCGAACUCGCGAGAGUAAGCUAAUCUCUUAAAGCCAUUCUCAGUUCGGAUUGUAGGCUGCAACUCGCCUACAUGAAGUCGGAAUCGCUAGUAAUCGCGGAUCAGCAUGCCGCGGUGAAUACGUUCCCGGGCCUUGUACACACCGCCCGUCACACCAUGAGAGUUUGUAACACCCAAAGUCGGUGGGGUAACCUUUUAGGAACCAGCCGCCUAAGGUGGGACAGAUGAUUAGGGUG
rnacentral:rRNA from 1 species